UUGGCUUUAGGGAUGAUCAGUGAGAUACACCUGCUGGAGCGCGUGCUACGGAUGGGUGUUGCCAUUGUGACCAGUGAACUGAGAUAAGGUGGAGCUUUACCUAGCAUGGACUUGUAGAUGACCUGAAGCCAGUGGGUCUGGCGACGAAUAUGUAGCGAGGGCCAGCCGACUAGAGCAUACAAGUUGCAGUGGUGGGUGGUAUAAGGUGCUUUAGUGACAAAACGGAUGGCACUGUGAUAAACUGCAUCCAGUUUGCUGAGUAGAGUGUUGGAAGCAAUUUUGUAGAUGACAUCGCCGUAGUCGAGGAUCGGUAGGAUAGUCAGUUUUACUAGGGUAAGUUUGGCGGCGUGAGUGAAGGAGGCUUUGUUGCGGAAUAGAAAGCCGAUUCUUGAUUUGAUUUUCGAUUGGAGAUGUUUGAUAUGAGUCUGUAAGGAGAGUUUGCAGUCUAGACAGACACCUAGGUACUUAUAGAUGUCCACAUCUUCAAGGUCGGAACCAUCCAGGGUGGUGAUGCUGGUCAGGCAUGCGGGUGCAGGCAGCGAACGGUUGAAAAGCAUGCAUUUUGUUUUACUAGCGUUUAAGAGCAGUUGGAGGCCACGGAAGGAGUGUUGUAUGGCAUUGAAGCUCGUUUGGAGGUUAGAUAGCACAGUGUCCAAGGACGGGCCGGAAGUAUAUAGAAUGGUGUCGUCUGCGUAGAGGUGGAUCAGGGAAUCGCCCGCAGCAAGAGUAACAUCAUUGAUAUAUACAGAGAAAAGAGUAGGCCCGAGGAUUGAACCCUGUGGUGUUACGGUGCGUGAAUGAGGACCCAAAAGCGAAUUAACGUAAACAGAGCUUCUUUAAUAAGAAAACAAACGUAGGCUCAGAUGGACCGGCAGGUUCCGACAGGACAGGACAAGGUUGCAGCAAACAUGACGAUAGUCUGGUUCAGGCAUGAACAACACAAACAAGAAUCCGACAAGGACAGGAACAAAAACAGAGAGAGAUAUAGAGGACUAAUCAGAGGGAAAAAGGGAACAGGUGGGAAAAGGGGUGACGAGGUAGUUAGGAGGAGACAAGGAACAGCUGGGGGAAAGAGGGGGAGAAAAGGGGUGACGAGGUAGUUAGGAGGAGACAAGGAACAGCUGGGGGAAAGAGGGGGAGAAAAGGUAACCUAAAACGACCAGCAGGGGGAGACAGGGUGAAGAGAAAGGACAGAAAC
rnacentral:lncRNA from 13 species